rnacentral:rRNA from 1 species
UACGAAGGUCCCAAGCGUUGUUCGGAAUUACUGGGCGUAAAGGGCGCGUAGGCGGCCAACUAAGUCAGACGUGAAAUUCCCAGGCUCAACCUGGGAACUGCGUCUGAUACUGGAUGGCUUGAGUUCGGGAGAGGGAAGUGGAAUUCCAGGUGUAGCGGUGAAAUGCGUAGAUAUCUGGAGGAACACCGGUGGCGAAGGCGGCUUCCUGGACCGACACUGACGCUGAGGCGCGAAAGCUAGGGGAGCAAACAGG